rnacentral:rRNA from 2 species
UACGUAGGUGGCAAGCGUUGUCCGGAAUUACUGGGUGUAAAGGGAGCGUAGGCGGGAGAUCAAGUUGGACGUUAAAUUCAUCGGCUCAACCGGUGCAAGCGUUCAAAACUGGUUUUCUUGAGUGGAGUAGAGGUAAGCGGAAUUCCUAGUGUAGCGGUGAAAUGCGUAAAUAUUAGGAGGAACACCAGUGGCGAAGGCGGCUUACUGGGCUUUAACUGACGCUGAGGCUCGAAAGCGUGGGUAGCAAACAGG